rnacentral:lncRNA from 1 species
AGAGCUGUGAUUGGCUGUCAAAACAAGUUAAAAUAAUUGCACUGCAGCUUUCCUACCACUGCACCACAGUGGAAAGUAGUCAGACGUGUCGGGUCAGUGGAAGUCAGUGAAAGGCGUUUCAGUUGGUAUUUGAUCUGAUCUCUGGCUGAAGCCAUGGGGCUUGUUCUGCGGUAAUUUUGAUUCUUUCUCUGAUAAACCUGUUUAGAAUUUCUAAGAUGUCUGGGAUUGUGGUUUUGAUAUGUCUUUUUUUUUUUAGUGAGGUGAUUCUAUGGCUACUGCUUAUUGGACAGCUUCAGGCAAGCUUUAACUGUAAGACGACAGGUUACAAUUGCAUUUACAAUGCAAGUUCAAGAACCACUCACUUGCGGAUGUAAAACUGAAGUUGAUAACUUGGGUGCUCUUGAUCAACAGCUUUCUAUCGUGGCUCUACGCCUGGCAUUUGGGACAUGAGCAACCAGCCCCAGGUUCCCGGCUACCCGUCCAAGCUGCAGCCCCAGGUUCCCGGCUACCCGUCCAAGCUGCAGCCCCAGGUUCCCGGCUACCCGUCCAAGCUGCAGCCCCAGGUUCCCGGCUACCCGUCCAAGCUGCAGCCCCAGGUUCCCGGCUACCCGUCCAAGCUGCAGCCCCAGGUUCCCGGCUACCCGUCCAAGCUGCAGCCCCAGGUUCCCGGCUACCCGUCCAAGCUGCAGCCCCAGGUUCCCGGCUACCCGUCCCGGACUCACUAUCCCGGCCACUCGUCCAAGCACCAUCCCCGUCCCCCCUUUCCCGGCCACCUGUCCAAGCACCAUCCCCGUCCCUACUUUCCUGGCCACCUGUUCAAGCCCCAGCACCAUACCCAGUUUCCCAGUCACCUGACCGAGCCUCAGCACCAGAUCCAGUUUCCAGGCUACCCGACAGAGCUUCAGCCCCGGACCCACUUUCCCGGCCAUCCGUCAGAGCCUCAGCCCCGGACCCACUUUCCCGGCCACCCGUCCAAGCACCAUCACCAUCACCAUCACCACUUUCCCGGACACCCGUCCAAGCACCAUCACCAUCACCAUCGCCAUCACCAUCACCACGGUCACGGCCACCCGUCCAAGCCCCAUCCCCAUCCUCAUUUAUCCAGCCACAAAGAUUUGGCUUAAAGGAAGAUUUGGCUACAACUUGUGGAUAUCCUUGGAGUUCCAACUGAUUGGCCUUGAUUACUUCAAGCUUGUACCCUGACAGUCUUUGGAGAAAUAAAAUGCAUUUUAUACUAAUUUAG